AAUAGAUUCUUCGCAUAAGAAAAGGUGUUCUUGAGUAACACAAACAACUUUAAGUUGGCAAAACAGUGCACAUGAGUGGCACAAUUAUUUCUCUAGUAAGAAUGAAUUAAAGACUUUUGAAAAAUGUGUGAAUUCUCGUGUCAAGUUUCGGGACGAAACUUCUUUUAAGAGGGGUAGAUUGUAAUCCCCCGUAUAUUUAUAAAGUUUAUUAAUAUAGUUUUACGUAUAAUUAAUUAUAUUUAAAUUACAUUGGUGAAUUUUAGUUUUAAUGUAUAUUUAUUUAUUCAAAUGCAUUUUAAAUAUUUUAAGAAUUUAUGAAAUUAAAAUAAUUUUAGAAUUUUACGUUGAAAAGAAAUCGAAUUGCGAAACCGAUUGAAUUUAGAAAACUAUCCUUACCGAUUUUAGAUUGAAAUCCUAAAACUAAAUCCUAAUUCUAAGCCCAUUUGGUAAAGCCCAAAAUAUCAAACCCACAACUCUCCUCCACUCUCCUCUCUUUCAAUUUCACGUGAAAAACAAAACACCCAAACCCUCCUUCAUUUUGCAACUUCACGUGAACAGGAACCACAAACCCCUUGCUUCAGCCACCAGCCCUCCUCCACCGUCGCACCACAGUACCUGGUUGCAGCUGUCAACCCGCCGUCGCUGCCCUGCCCAGCCGCCGGCCUUUCUUCGCUGCUCCCUUCUCCUUCGCGAGCACCAUUGUUCCCUCUUCUCCCUCGUGCUUGUCUCACUCUCUCACGUCACUGCAGAUGCAUCGCCAGCCUCCGCGACCGCCGCACAACCACCGUGCGUCCAUCUGACGCCGUCCGACGUACUCCUCCUCCUGGUCCCGCUGCCGCGCCGCCCUGCCGCCGGCCAUCACUCCUUCUUUUCUUAUUUUGGUGGAGAAUUCUCUUUAGGCGACUUUUAAAAGUGUUAAAGUGACGUAUCAGUUUGUUUACACAAGUCCCUAAGGAUCAAUAAGCGUUGCCCAUCUACAGGUUUGAAGAUGAUGCAUCAUUGGGAUCGGGAUUAGAGAGCUUGUAGUUCAUUUGAUUUUCUAAGUUGGAUUCGGUUUGUUUAAGUGGACUCUAAAACUUAUUGAAUUAGUAACAUUAACUUUGUUUUUCGUUGAUUGGUUUUUGGGAUUUAUUCUGAAAAUGAUUAUUUAUAAACUUACAGUUAGUUUUAUGUUUUCCGCUGCAAAAUUCUGAAUAAGCCGUUAC